rnacentral:rRNA from 1 species
CGUGCCUAACACAUGCAAGUCGAACGGAACUGUUUUGAAAGAUUUCUUCGGAAUGAAUUUGAUUUAGUUUAGUGGCGGACGGGUGAGUAACGCGUGAGUAACCUGCCUUCAAGAGGGGGAUAACAUUCUGAAGAGGAUGCUAAUACCGCAUGACAUAUCGGAACCACAUGGUUUUGAUAUCAAAGAUUUUAUCGCUUGAAGAUGGACUCGCGUCCGAUUAGUUAGUUGGUGAGGUAACGGCUCACCAAGACCGCGAUCGGUAGCCGGACUGAGAGGUUGAACGGCCACAUUGGGACUGAGACACGGCCCAGACUCCUACGGGAGGCAGCAGUGGGGGAUAUUGCGCAAUGGGGGCAACCCUGACGCAGCAACGCCGCGUGAAGGAUGAAGGUUUUCGGAUUGUAAACUUCUUUUAUUAAGGACGAAAAAUGACGGUACUUAAUGAAUAAGCUCCGGCUAACUACGUGCCAGCAGCCGCGGUAAUACGUAGGGAGCAAGCGUUGUCCGGAUUUACUGGGUGUAAAGGGUGCGUAGGCGGCUUUGCAAGUCAGAUGUGAAAUCUAUGGGCUCAACCCAUAAACUGCAUUUGAAACUGUAGAGCUUGAGUGAAGUAGAGGCAGGCGGAAUUCCCCGUGUAGCGGUGAAAUGCGUAGAGAUGGGGAGGAACACCAGUGGCGAAGGCGGCCUGCUGGGCUUUAACUGACGCUGAGGCACGAAAGCGUGGGUAGCAAA